UACAGAGGGGGCAAGCGUUGUUCGGAAUUACUGGGCGUAAAGGGCGCGUAGGCGGCCUUCUAAGUCGAACGUGAAAUCCCCGGGCUCAACCCGGGAACUGCGUCCGAUACUGGAAGGCUUGAAUCCGGGAGAGGGAUGCGGAAUUCCAGGUGUAGCGGUGAAAUGCGUAGAUAUCUGGAGGAACACCGGUGGCGAAGGCGGUUCUCUGGGCCUUACCUGACGCUGAGGAGCGAAAGCGUGGGGAGCGAACAGG
rnacentral:rRNA from 1 species